rnacentral:rRNA from 1 species
UACGGGGGGGGCAAGCGUCGUUCGGAAUUACUGGGCGUAAAGGGCUCGUAGGCGGCCAACUAAGUCAUACGUGAAAUCCCUCGGCUUAACCGGGGAACUGCGUCUGAUACUGGAUGGCUUGAGUUCGGGAGAGGGAUGCGGAAUUCCAGGUGUAGCGGUGAAAUGCGUAGAUAGCUGGAGGAACACCGGUGGCGAAGGCGGCAUCCUGGACCGGUAUUGACGCUGAGGCGCGAAAGCCAGGGGAGCAAACGGG